GAUGAAGAACGUAGCGAAAUGCGAUAAGUAAUGUGAAUUGCAGAAUUCAGUGAAUCAUCGAAUCUUUGAACGCACAUUGCGCCCCUUGGUAUUCCAUGGGGCAUGCCUGUUCGAGCGUCAUUUGUACCUUCAAGCUCUGCUUGGUGUUGGGUGUUUGUCUCGCCUCUGCGCGCAGACUCGCCUCAAAACAAUUGGCAGCCGGCGUAUUGAUUUCGGAGCGCAGUACAUCUCGCGCUUUGCACUCAUAACGACGACGUCCAUAAAGUACAUUUUUUACACCCUUGACCUCGGAUCAGGUAGGGAUACCCGCUGAACUUAAGCAUAUCAAUAAGCGGAGGA
rnacentral:misc_RNA from 1 species